UCCGCGUUAGUAUAGUGGUGAGUAUAUCCGCCUGUCAAAAAAAAAAUUAAUCCUCUGGAUAAUUGAUUUGAAGCAGUUCGCGGAAGACACGGGUUCGAUUCCCGUACGCGGAG
rnacentral:tRNA from 1 species